ACCCUUGUCCUUAGUUACCAGCACGUUAUGGUGGGCACUCUAAGGAGACUGCCGGUGACAAACCGGAGGAAGGUGGGGAUGACGUCAAGUCAUCAUGGCCCUUACGGCCUGGGCUACACACGUGCUACAAUGGUCGGUACAGAGGGUUGCCAAGCCGCGAGGUGGAGCUAAUCUCACAAAACCGAUCGUAGUCCGGAUCGCAGUCUGCAACUCGACUGCGUGAAGUCGGAAUCGCUAGUAAUCGCGAAUCAGAAUGUCGCGGUGAAUACGUUCCCGGGCCUUGUACACACCGCCCGUCACACCAUGGGAGUGGGUUGCACCAGAAGUAGCUAGUCUAACCUUCGGGAGGACGGUUACCACGGUGUGAUUCAUGACUGGGGUGAAGUCGUAACAAGGUAGCCGUAGGGGAACCUGCGGCUGGAUCACCUCCUUA
rnacentral:ncRNA from 1 species